rnacentral:rRNA from 1 species
GUUAUCGUUUAUUUGAUAGUACCUUACUACUUGGAUAAUCGUGGUAAUUCUAGAGCUAAUACAUGCUAAAAAUCCCGACUUCGGAAGGGAUGUAUUUAUUAGAUUAAAAACCAAUGCCCUUCGGGGCUCCUUGGUGAUUCAUGAUAACUCCUCGAAUCGCAUGGCCUUGUGCCGGCGAUGGUUCAUUCAAAUUUCUUCCCUAUCAACUUUCGAUGUUUGGGUAUUGGCCAAACAUGGUUGCAACGGGUAACGGAGGGUUAGGGCUCGACCCCGGAGAAGGAGCCUGAGAAACGGCUACUACAUCCAAGGAAGGCAGCAGGCGCGCAAAUUACCCAAUCCCGACACGGGGAGGUAGUGACAAUAAAUACUGAUACAGGGCUCUUUUGGGUCUUGUAAUUGGAAUGAGUACAAUUUAAAUCCCUUAACGAGGAACAAUUGGAGGGCAAGUCUGGUGCCAGCAGCCGCGGUAAUUCCAGCUCCAAUAGCGUAUAUUAAAGUUGUUGUGGUUAAAAAGCUCGUAGUUGAACCUUGG